GACAGAGGGUGCAAACGUUGUUCGGAAUUACUGGGCGUAAAGCGCGUGUAGGCGGCCCUGCAAGUCGGGUGUGAAAUCCCACGGCUCAACCGUGGAAGUGCACUCGAAACUGCAGGGCUAGAGUCCUGGAGAGGAAGGUGGAAUGCUUGGUGUAGAGGUGAAAUUCGUAGAUAUCAAGCGGAACACCGGUGGCGAAGGCGGCCUUCUGGACAGUGACGUGACGCUGAGACGCGAAAGCGUGGGGAGCAAACAGG
rnacentral:rRNA from 1 species